AAUUUGCCCCCUCCGUUAGCCAAACUGCUAGUGAAUCUGUUAAAUGCUGACGUGUCCUAAGGGGUUCCACUUUUGACACGUCAGCGUUUAAUAGAUUCACUAACAGUUUGGCUAACGGAGGAGGCAAAUU
rnacentral:pre_miRNA from 1 species